rnacentral:rRNA from 1 species
CAAUAGCGUAUAUUAAAGUUGUUGCAGUUAAAAAGCUCGUAGUUGGACCUUGGACCUGGACAGGCGGUCCGCCUCACGGCGAGUACUGUCUUGCUGGGUCUUUCCUCUUGGUGAUCUGUUGUUUCGGCAGCAGGGAACCAGGACCUUUACUUUGAAAAAAUUAGAGUGUUCAAAGCAGGCUCGACGCCGGAAUAUAUUAGCAUGGAAUAAUAAAAUAGGACGUGCGGUUCUAUUUUGUUGGUUUUUGGAAUCGCCGUAAUGAUUAAUAGGGACAGUCGGGGGCAUUAGUACUCACAUGCUAGAGGUGAAAUUCUUGGAUUUUGUGAAGACUAACUUCUGCGAAAGCAUUUGCCAAGGACGUUUUCAUUAA